rnacentral:rRNA from 1 species
GUGGGGAAUAUUGGGCAAUGGGCGAAAGCCUGACCCAGCGACGCCGCGUGAGGGAAGACGGUCUUCGGAUUGUAAACCUCUUUCAGCAGGGAAGAAGCAAGUGACGGUACCUGCAGAAGAAGUCACGGCUAACUACGUGCCAGCAGCCGCGGUAAUACGUAGGUGGCGAGCGUUAUCCGGAAUUACUGGGUGUAAAGGGUGUGUAGGCGGGGAAGCAAGUCAGAUGUGAAAACCAAAGGCUCAACCUUUGGCUUGCAUUUGAAACUGUUUUUCUUGAGAGUGGGAGAGGUAAACGGAAUUCCUAGUGUAGUAGUGAAAUGCGUAGAUAUUAGGAGGAACACCGGUGGCGAAGGCGGUUUACUGGACCACAACUGACGCUGAGACACGAAAGCGUGGGGAGCAAACAGGAUUAGAAACCCUAGUAGUCC